rnacentral:lncRNA from 1 species
AUUCUCGGGGCCCGAGGCUCAGCCGCUCGCGGUGGAGAAAGCAGGCCGCGGAGGAGGCGGGCGCCCAGGCCUGCCCGGACAGGAAGUGGGCCCAGCUUUCCCACUCCUCGCUCCGCUCCUUCCUCCGCGGGAAGGGCAGGCCCCGGAGGCAGCGAGCGCCCCGGGGGUGGCCGGGCAGCCGGAUGCUCCCGGGGUUGCGGGCUGUGGCCCCGGGGGCUGAGGGCGGCGCGGGUGCGGCGGAAGCAGGGAAGCCGCGAACCGGCCUUCUGGCUGGCCACAGCGCCCUGCACGGACGAUCAGUGAAUGGAGAUUACUCAAGUAUUUAUCGAGAACUUGCAGUGGGCUAGGCACAGUUCAGGUCCACAGUUAUUUCACUUCUAAAUAAAUAUGGUUUUUUAAAAGUGGCACGCGGUGGAAUGUAAUUGAGACAGGAUGGAGUUCCUAGAGAAAUUUUACUUCCUCAAUCUGCACUCCACCUUACUUAAAAUACAGUCUUGGGUCUGUAAUUCCCUUAUCUGACUCUCAAGGAAAUGACAAAGUAAUGCCUAGAUUGGACUAAACCUCAUUUAACUUCAAGGCUGACCUUUCUCAAAGUUGAACCUUCGUCUUGUGAGGAACAGAAAGAUCAAGAACUCUGAAGCACCUCGACUUUCCACCUGUGAAGAUGUGUUCAAAUUUGCAACGUGCGGCCACACCUAUGAGGUUGAACUUUAUACAAUUGGUUUCUUUAUAGGUUUAGAUGGUUGAAUUUAAGUUACCCCCACUGCUAUUAUUAUUAUUUUGAGACAGAGUCUUAACUCUGUUGCCCAGGCAGGAGUGCAGUGGCGAGAUCUGGACUCACUGCAACCUCUGCCUCCUGGCUUCAAGCAAUUCUCAUGCUUCAGCCUGUAGCUGGAACUACAGGUCACUCCCUCUGGAGGAAACCAGCUGCCACUUUGUGAGGAUACUCAUAGUCCUGUGGAGGCAUAUCCUCCAUAUGGCUGAGACCUCCUGCGAACAACCAUCACUGACUUGCCAGACAUGAGUGUGCCACCUUGGAAGCAGAUUUUCCAGCCCCAGUUAAGCCUUCAGAUGACAUCAGCCCCUGCUAAUCUCUUGACUACAACCUCAUGAGAGACCCUGAGCCAGAACUAGCCAGGCUUACCCCUCAUGGUUACAAAGUGGCUGCAACAGCUCCAGGUGUUCUAUCCUUUAACACAGAAUAACUCAAACAACAAGACCCAAUAUUCAGACAAGAAGGAAAGGGACUUUUGGAGAGUGAAGAAAACUUUCCUAGAAACCUCAAACUUCUCCCCAUGCCUUAUUGGCCAGAUUGUAUCCCAUGCCCAUUUCUAAACCAAUCAUUGGCAAAGUGAGUGGAAUUGACGUGAUUAGAUUAACUUUACCAAGAAUGCAUCCUCAGAGAGGCUGAGAAAAAGUCCAGCCUCCUUUGAAGAGCCUGGCUACCUUUCACCUGAACAAAACAAGAAUUCUGAUGAAAAAUGGAGAAUGUAUGUGGAGCAGGCACCCGGAGUGUCUAUGCCAGGAUUUUUUUUCAGUGCGUUUCACCGGUUAUAUUUUUGUCUCUUUACCUUACAAGAUAUGUGGCACGUUUGCCUAAAACAAGCCUUGCUUUCUGAUUUCUGUGCACUAGGCACUUAAACCUUGCAAAUGUCGCUUACCUAACAGUCACUGUCAAGGAGUACCUGGCUAAAGAAUCUCCAGCUAGACAAAGUAGAAGUGUCUGUGCUCUGGCAGUUGAAUAUAUUGUAUCAGGCUCAACAGCACCUUUCACCAAAGGAUGAGACUUCACAACCAUUAGAUCUUCUUUUAUUUUGUUUUUAUUAAAAAAAAAAAUUUUAACACACCAUUGCUAACUUGAAGCCAUUAGAUCUUCUUACCCCCAAUACCACAAAAGUUUAGUGGAAUCAGGGGUAUACCAAGGCAGGUGGAGUAGGGGAGCUGGGAGUGGUCAGCCCCCAGGGCAGGCAAUGAGGGAUUGUGAAUCUGUGAAGAAUUUUAAAGCAAUGAUACAGCUCUAAAUGCAAUGUACUAUCCUGGACUUAGCCCUGGAAAAGAAAAAAGAUAUUAGUGGAAAAACUGGUAAAAUUCAAAUAAUGUCUGUAGUUUGGUUAAUAGUAUUAUACCAAUGUUAAUUUCUGUGUUUUGAUAAAUGUACCAUGGUUAUGUAAGCUGGAUGAAAGAUAUGUGGGAAAUCUCUCUACUAUUUCUGCAACUCUCCUGUAAACCUAAAAAUGUUUCAAAAUAAAAGAUUUAAUGCUAAAAUUGAC